AUCCCUUUCAAGGAUAUGCGGUAAAAUUAAAACAAUAUAAAGAAGAUUAGCAUUGAUCCCUUGGGAAGGAUAACACGCACAAAUCCAAAAAUGAUCCAAUUUCUU